rnacentral:lncRNA from 1 species
UGCCGAAACUUUAACUGCAUUUCUUUGUUCUCCAGGCGAGCGCGCCUUAUUGCCAAAACUUUAACUGUAUUCCCUUGUUCUCCAGGUAGGCGCCUGAUUGCCAAAACUAGAAUUGUAUGCCCUUGUUCUCCAGGUGGGCGCAUGAUUGCCAAAACUUGAACUGUAUUCCCUUGUUCUCCAGGUGGGCGCUUGUUGCCAAAACUUGAACUGUAUUCCCUUGUUCUCUAGGUGGGCGCCUAAUUGCCAAAACUUGAAACUGUUUUCUCUUGUUCUCCAGGUUGCCGCCUGAUUGCCAAAACUUGAAACUUUAUUCCCUUGUUCUCCAAGUAGGCGCUUGUUUACCAAAACUUGAAUUGUAUUCCUUGUUUCUCUAGGUGGGCGCCUAAUAGCGAAAACUUGAACUGCAUUCCUUUGUUCGCUAGGUUGGCGCCUGAUUACCGAAACUUGAACUAUAUUUCCUUAUUCUCCAGGUGGGCGCCUGAUUGCCAAAACUUGAACUGUAUUCCCUUAUUUUACAGAUGGGUGCCUGAUUGCCAAAACUUUAACUAUAUUCCCUUAUUCUUUAGGUGGGCGCCUGAUUGCCAAAACUUGAAUUGUAUGACAUUGUUCUCCAGGUGGGCGCCUGAUUACCAAAGCUUGAACUGUAUGCCCUUGUUCUCCAGGUGGGCACCUGAUUGCCCAAACUUGAACUGUAUUCCCUUGUUCUCAGGUGGGCGCCUGAUUG